rnacentral:rRNA from 1 species
GAUGAACGCUGGCGGCGUGCCUAAUACAUGCAAGUCGAGCGAACGGACGAGAAGCUUGCUCCUCUGAUGUUAGCGGCGGACGGGUGAGUAACACGUGGAUAACCUACCUAUAAGACUGGGAUAACUUCGGGAAACCGGAGCUAAUACCGGAUAAUAUAUUGAACCGCAUGGUUCAAAAGUGAAAGACGGUCUUGCUGUCACUUAUAGAUGGAUCCGCGCCGCAUUAGCUAGUUGGUAAGGUAACGGCUUACCAAGGCAACGAUGCGUAGCCGACCUGAGAGGGUGAUCGGCCACACUGGAACUGAGACACGGUCCAGACUCCUACGGGAGGCAGCAGUAGGGAAUCUUCCGCAAUGGGCGAAAGCCUGACGGAGCAACGCCGCGUGAGUGAUGAAGGUCUUCGGAUCGUAAAACUCUGUUAUUAGGGAAGAACAAAUGUGUAAGUAACUGUGCACAUCUUGACGGUACCUAAUCAGAAAGCCACGGCUAACUACGUG